rnacentral:tmRNA from 1 species
CGAGCCGAGAUGGUGCGUAAGCAUGCGGAGUGACGACUGUGGACUCCCUAAUCACGUCGGUCAGAAAUUUAAUUGGCGAAAACAAGUACGCUCUCGCUGCCUAAACGAAGUACAGUAGUUUACUGGCUUAAUUCCCUUACAAGGUAGGGGAACGAGACAUCGCUCCAAGGAUGUUGUUCCGAAUCCGAGGGUCAAGCGGUGCAGGAAAAUCGGGAAUAGUCCGUCGGGCGCUCCGACUGGUGGAUGAAGAUUUAGGAGCUAAGGUCGCAGUUGGUGGUCCAGGUCUUGCUGCAACACGAAAACGAAGGCUGGAAUAAGCAUGUAGAAAGCGUAUGGUUUCCUCGUGUGGACGAGGGUUCGAUUCCCUCCACUUCCACCA